GGAUAAAAACUCCCUUUAAAUGGAUGAAUUGCUACCAUGAUUGAUUAUAUCUUGACGAAAGUGGGUAAGCGUUCCUUCAAGAAUAUCCUUUUGAAAGGUAUAGCGCAUAGAACUGACAGUGCACGAACCAAAGGCUCCUCCUCCUCCUACUAUUGGGUGGGUUCUAAUGCCACUUAGGACGGAGGAUCCUUCCAUACAGUAAUUGACUCCGGAGGGAUGGAAGACUCAAGAUGGAAUGAAACCUAUCACCUUUAAAGAGAAAGAUGUUUACCUAUCCUCCCCUACA
rnacentral:lncRNA from 1 species